rnacentral:rRNA from 1 species
UGAUGACGGCCUUCGGGUUGUAAAGCUCUGUUAAUCGGGACGAAAGGCCUUCUUGCGAAUAGUGAGAAGGAUUGACGGUACCGGAAUAGAAAGCCACGGCUAACUACGUGCCAGCAGCCGCGGUAAUACGUAGGUGGCAAGCGUUGUCCGGAAUUAUUGGGCGUAAAGCGCGCGCAGGCGGAUAGGUCAGUCUGUCUUAAAAGUUCGGGGCUUAACCCCGUGAUGGGAUGGAAACUGCCAAUCUAGAGUAUCGGAAAGGAAAGUGGAAUUCCUAGUGUAGCGGUGAAAUGCGUAGAUAUUAGGAAGAACACCAGUGGCGAAGGCGACUUUCUGGACGAAAACUGACGCUGAGGCGCGAAAGCCAGGGGAGCGAACGGGAUUAGAUACCCCGGUAGUCCUGGCCGUAAACGAUGGGUACUAGGUGUAGGAGGUAUCGACCCCUUCUGUGCCGGAGUUAACGCAAUAAGUACCCCGCCUGGGGAGUACAACCGCAAGGUUGAAACUCAAAGGAAUUGACGGGGGCCCGCACAAG